GAUGAACGCUGGCGGCGUGCCUAAUACAUGCAAGUCGAGCGAACAGACGAGGAGCUUGCUCCUCUGACGUUAGCGGCGGACGGGUGAGUAACACGUGGAUAACCUACCUAUAAGCCGGGGAUAACUUCGGAAAACCGGAGCUACUACCGGAUAAUAUAUUGAACCGCAUGGUCCAAUAGUGAAAGACGGUUUUGCUGUCACUUAUAGAUGGACCCGCGCCGCAUUAGCUAGUUGGUAAGGUAACGGCUUACCAAGGCGACGAUGCGUAGCCGACCUGAGAGGGUGAUCGGCCACACGGGCACUGAGACAGGGUCCAGACUCCUAGGGUGGGAAGCAGUAGGGAAUCUUCCGCGAUGGGCGAGAGCCUGACGGAGCAACGCCGCGUGAGUGAUGAAGGUCUUCGGAUCGUAAAACUCUGUUAUUAGGGAAGAACAAAUGUGUAAGUAGCUAUGCACGUCUUGACGGUACCUAAUCAGAAAGCCACGGCUAACUACGUG
rnacentral:rRNA from 1 species